UCAGGUGUUUAACCUGUAGGAUCAGGUGUUAACCUGUAGGAUCAGGUGUUAACCUGUAGGAUCAGGUGUUUAACCGGUAGGAUCAGGUGUUUAACCGGUAGGAUCAGGUGUUUAACCUGUAGGAUCAGGUGUUUAACCUGUAGGAUCAGGUGUUUAACCGGUAGGAUCAGGUGUUUAACCGGUAGGAUCAGGUGUUAACCGGUAGGAUCAGGUG